rnacentral:rRNA from 1 species
AACAGCUACCACAUCCAAGGAAGGCAGCAGGCGCGCAAAUUACCCAAUCUGACACAGGGAGGUAGUGACAAAAAAUAACAAUACCGGGCAUUUAUAUGUCUGGUAAUUGGAAUGAGUACAAUUUAAAUCCCUUAACGAGGAUCAAUUGGAGGACAAGUCUGGUGCCAGCACCCGCGGUAAUUCCAGCUCCAAUAGCGUAUAUUAAAGUUGUUGCAGUUAAAAAGCUCGUAGUUGGAUUUCUGAGCGUGUGCGCCUGCCCCACUGGGGUAACCCAGCGAGUGGUGGUGUGCGCCGUUCAUAUGGGAAGAAUCUUCAUUGCCGGUCAAACGGUGAUGACAGACCUCCCGCUAUACUUUGAAAAAAUUAGAGUGUUUAAAGCAGGCUUGCGCUAUGAAUACAUUAGCAUGGAAUAUUAAUUUAGGACUUUGUUUCUAUUUUAUUGGUUUCUAGGAAUAAAGUAAUGAUUGAUAGGGAUAGUUGGGGGUGCUAGUAUUCAUCGGCCAGAGGUGAAAUUCUUGGAUUCGAUGAAGACUAACUAAUGCGAAAGCAUUCACCAAGGAUGUCUUCUUUAAUCAAGAACGAAAGUUGGGGGAUCGAAGACGAUCAGAUACCGUCGUAGUCUCAACCAUAAACUAUACCGACUAGGGAUUAGGGAAAGUUGCUAUUACGACUUCCUUAGCACCUUAUGAGAAAUCAGAAGUCUUUGGGUUCUGGGGGGAGUAUGGUCGCAAGGCUGAAA